GGAACAGACUGCCUGUUUGCGAUCUGUGA
rnacentral:piRNA from 1 species